rnacentral:rRNA from 1 species
GACGAACGCUGGCGGCGUGCCUAAUACAUGCAAGUAGAACGCACAGUUUAUACCGUAGCUUGCUACACCAUAGACUGUGAGUUGCGAACGGGUGAGUAACGCGUAGGUAACCUGCCUGGUAGCGGGGGAUAACUAUUGGAAACGAUAGCUAAUACCGCAUAAUAUUAAUUAUUGCAUGAUAAUUAAUUGAAAGGUGCAAUUGCACCACUACCAGAUGGACCUGCGUUGUAUUAGCUAGUAGGUGAGGUAACGGCUCACCUAGGCGACGAUACAUAGCCGACCUGAGAGGGUGAUCGGCCUCACUGGGACUGAGACACGGCCCAGACUCCUACGGGAGGCAGCAGUAGGGAAUCUUCGGCAAUGGACGAAAGUCUGACCGAGCAACGCCGCGUGAGUGAAGAAGGUUUUCGGAUCGUAAAGCUCUGUUGUAAGAGAAGAACGGGUGUGAGAGUGGAAAGUUCACACUGCGACGGUAUCUUACCAGAAAGGGACGGCUAACUACGU